rnacentral:lncRNA from 1 species
UUUAUUUUAUUUAGGUUUAUUUUAUUAAUUUAUUCCAAAAAGGUUUAUUUUUCAAAAAAUAUUUUAUGAGAAUUGUACAAGCCCAAUUUUAACUCGGGACUCAAAACCCAAACACCCAAAACCAAUACCAACCCAAUACCCACCUAAACCAACCCAAACUUGAACCCAAAAUUCAAGCCCAAGUACGAAAACCCUAGCCCAAAAACCUAAACUAAUUUUCAGCCAAAAGGAGAAGGAAACCCUAGUUGCCGCCUCACAUGCCUCUGCCACCACCUGCCACUGACACCACCUGCUCCGCCUGAAACCUCCGUCAACGCCUGCAAACAACACAAAAAAGAAACAAAAGCCAAAUACGCAAAGCAUAAGCAAAACAGUGCAAAACAGUAGAAAAAAUAGAUAAAAAUAUAUUGUAAAUCGACUAUAAAAGCCUAAGAAAACCGAUUGUUAAAAAAAAGGGUGGUCGAAAAAUAUCAACAAAAAAGAAACAAAAUAUCAAUAAAAACAGAGAAAUCUUCAGAAGGUUUACCUCUAUUUACGUUUUAAUCUAUUUCUAUUUUAUUUUUUUUUACUCUACCUCUUAUUUUUUUAUAUACUAGAUUUAAAAAAAAGGGGAUAAGAAUCUGACCUGUAUUCGAGUCUUCAACGCCGUGAACGGCCGAGGAAGUCACCUCUGAGGAUAGGUGGCCGGAAACUGAAAGGUUUCUUGACAUUUUGGGGCGUUUUGCUAAUAUUUUUGGAUUUUUGGCCCCAGAUUUGGAUUCAAUGGGGGUCAGAAGGACGGAUAUGGAGGUUUUGCCCUUUUACAGCCACCGCGGGCGGCAGCGCCGUCGCCGGUGAUCAGCGGUCGGUGCGGUGGCUGGUGACCGGAGCAUGGCCGGAUAUGGGGAAGUGUUGAGAGAAAAGAGAAACCUUUGAUUUUUUUUAAGAAAACAGUGGC